rnacentral:rRNA from 1 species
UACGUAGGGGGCUAGCGUUGUCCGGAAUCAUUGGGCGUAAAGCGCGUGUAGGCGGUCCGGUCAGUCCGCUGUGAAAGUCGGGGGCUCAACCCUCGAAUGCCGGUGGAUACUGUCGGGCUAGAGUACGGAAGAGGCGAGUGGAAUUCCUGGUGUAGCGGUGAAAUGCGCAGAUAUCAGGAAGAACACCGACGGCGAAGGCAGCUCGCUGGGACGGUACUGACGCUGAGGCGCGAAAGCGUGGGGAGCGAACAGG